UCUCCUCUGCCAUGAAACACAUAUGCCGGCGGUUGGUUCAUAGUAAAGUACAACAAAUAGCGAGAAUAAAAGCAAAUACAUACAUUCAAAACUUACCAGGGAGUCCCACGGCUUCUCCGACCUUGUUCCACGCUUUAUCUUUAUAGCUCCGGUUUCGGACGAUGACGAGCGGAGCUGCUCAACGCUGAUUGGCUGACGCAACUAUGACUCACGCGUCUUUGCUGCCAAAGUUGGGAAAUUUCAACUCGCGCGUCGAGGAGCUGCGUCUGCUCGCUCUGUUCGCUGAGUUCGCCCCGCGACAAACUCUCUGUUCGUGCUGCUUCAAACGCGUCUGACGCGCUGCUCGCUGGAAAAUACGCAGCUACGCAGCUUCGACGCAGCUUUGCAUUGACUUAACAUGUAAACUCGACGCGCGUCAACAUUUUGACGCGUCCGGUGUGAACACACCAUUACAUGUACACUUCACUGUUUGAGGCUUCAGGCUUUUGAUGGCUUUGCAGGUAUUUUUCUUCCUUUCAGACAUUGCAAAGAAUGCAUACUUAUUUCAUUUCCAUUAAAAGGAUUGCAAUGAAAUAUUUGCUCUGGCCUAAACUGGCUCAGUGUUGACCAAAAUACACACAGUACACCUUCCAUAUGCCCCAUGUCACACUUUACAUUAUUAAGUGGGAUUUAAUAACUGAAAAUGACUUCAUCUCACAAUUUGUCGAGCAAUAUUUUAUUCAAGCCAUACAAUACAUUAAACAAUAUUAUCUUAUGUAUGGUAGGUCACAUGAGAGGCAGCCCACUCUGAAACAAUAGAGAUGAAAUGUUUUGAUUUCCACUCAAACUGUUCCUCUAUUUGAAAACCAGACUAUUACGGCCACAGAUUUGUUUUUCUGGGCUCUUUUUGUGUCAUGUCUGCCGAGCCCCUUUCUCAGAGCCUAUCACACCUGAAGCUGCACAUCUGACCCCAGAUUCAGUGUUCUGGUCUGUUGUUGCUCUGUGUUGGAGAUUUACUGAUGAAACUGUAUUUUUCGCCAUCUUAAAAUAUUGAUACUUUGUUUAAAGAAACCUUGUUGGGGUUGUCUGUCAUUUCUUUGGCACUAUGUGUUUCCAGGUCCAUGGCUAGUAAGGGAGUUUAGUAUUUAGUAUUAUAUUUUUUUCAGUAAAAUCAUUGAGUUUAUAUUGUAUGGCUAGUUUUUUUUCCUGUUUGUUUUGGCCUCAGACAUCCUAAAGCCAUUUUUUGCUUCCGUUUGUUGUUCUCUUUAUUUGUUAAUAAAUUCAACUAAUUGUAAGUGCUAAGGUAGCCUUUUCCUUUCUGUGUCGGCCCAUCUUAUUUUUUUAUUUAAAGGCUACUCCUCGUGUUCCCUGAAGUGAGGUGAAGGUUGUAACGUCGUCCUCUCGUGGCGACUAUUUGAGACAAUUUACAAAUGGACACAAACUACAAGAAUAUAAACAACACUUGAAUGGGCUGCUACUGUCCGUGCUUAAAAUUAUUGAAUAAAACCGAUACGUACGUUUAUUAGACUUUUUGGCUCAGAAAUGAAAAUGUACGUUACCAUAAAAGGCUCUCUCUUUGGCCAUCGGAUUAAAUGGGUCUAAGAGUUACUGUCUACAUUAUUCAAUACCAAUUAUCGGCUUACAAUAUGAAUAGUCACAUCCAGUAGCAUGUUCCAGCCUGAUGCCAGAGUACAUCCAGCUAUCUGACUCAGGCUAGUGGAAAAAAGGCCAACAUGGACUUUGACUUUCUAUACACGUGAGUGAGAUAAAACAAUGCUUUAAAUAAGUCAACUGUUAUAAAAAAACACAGUGUAGAUUUUUUUUUAAAGAAGGACAAAACACAAUGACAGCUCCACAGCUUUAGACUGCAUACAAAAUGUCCACUGGAUGAAAUAACUGUCCCCAGAUCUAACUUUGGUGUAAAGUCCAAUGUGUCCUCUGCCCUUAUAACAA